UCUCGAUCAGAGAGAUGAGGACAUUGAAGAGUUAACCAUUACCGCUCUCUUAGGGGAGAUGGUGAUGUAAACCCUAAACCAUGUGACACUUUAAUAAAUAAUACAGCCGACAGAAACAAACACACACUGUUCCAUCGACAGGCGAGCAAAACACGAUUCUCUGCAACUUAACCGAGAUUUCAGCAUCAAAAGAAGAGCAGAUUAUAGAGGAUGUGCUGUCUGCCGGUGGAGCAGACUCUGAGCGCGCUCCGAGACUCCGUGUGCGCGCACGGAUGCGCUCCGCUGCCCUUUGCGCAGCGACUGCGCCGGAUCGGAGACCAGUUGCAGAAGAGAUGGACUGCAAACGAUAAAAGCAUCGACGAUGAACAACGAAGCGGUGGGCAAAACAUCAUCAGACGCUUACAGAUAGUGUGCACGGUCAUACAGGUGACCCUUCUCGUGUUUUUAGUCAAAAAGCGACAUCUGUAGGUGAGACGAUGCUCUCCUGAUCUAAAGAUAAGCUGCAACAGAUGAAUCUUCAGAUUCUCCUGGGAUGACCUGCUCCAGAUUCAACAGAGUGGAACAGGUGUCCAUCAGGUCUGCACCGUAGAAACUUGCCAUGGAAUCAGUGGGUCGAUGUUUUCUCAUCCAUCUUUUUGCAGUAGUGUUGUAAUGGAAACGUGCAAACUCCAGACACGCCUGUGCUGUACAUUACGAGCGCCGAUCGCAUAUAACACACAAGCAUCACUCCAUCCUGUAGUCUUCUUGCAACCACAUCUAGAUCUUGAAACCAGCCGAUGUCAUUGUUUGGUAAAACUCUUGAGGUCAGUGUAGUCAAACUCAACGUCUCUCGGGACACUUUUAAAAAUAAAGGCUGAUGUCAUUAUCCCUUGGCAUUUUCGAGGAAAUGUUUUUUGUCACUACGGCAAUAGGAGCCUCGACUCAACUUUGAUGAUUUUUUACCACAGCUGAGAGUUUGUUGUGAUGUUACGAAUUAUCAGUAGAGGUGCUUUGAGUGUGCAACAGUUUGCAUUAAAAUAUCAAACUAAAAAAAGAGGAGAGCUACCAAAACUGUUACCAAAUCCUCUUCUCUGCAAAAUGCACUGUAACAUUUAGCUAUAAGCUACUGUAAGUAACUAUGCCAUUCAAUAUCCGAGCUGUGAUUUUGUUUCUUUGAUGUUUUAUGGAGAUAUUUAUUACUUAUCGUCUUUACAUUUCACUGUACUAUUCUGAAUGGAAGACAUAUUUAUACUGUAAAAGUGUAUUUUGAAAUGGAUGUUUACAAAUGAAGACAAAUCCUUUUUUUAAACGUUUUUAUAAAAGGGCUUUUGGCUUGAUUGUUUGUGACAGUGUUAAUCUAGAAAAUUAAUACGAAUGAGAUUUCAUGCGAAAUGUGAAUCAAAGGGCAUGCUACUAACGUUUACAUAAGCUACGAUCCUUUUAUAGUUUAUGUUACUAUCAUGUGUUUUAAACAUGUUUUACCUCUGCUAUUUUGAUAUUGUGAAUUUUGUCACUUAUGAAAAUAAAAAAGGCUUUAAAUAUA